CCGAAAUAUCACGCAUGGGGACAGAGACUCAUUUCUCUUUCAUUUCCAUGUCUAAUUUCAGGACGGAAUGAAAAGCAUAAACAAUUUUAUGAUGUCUCGCCAUCCUUAAAAUUCUGAAAUUACUUUGGUCUUUGUUGGUCAGCAAAGAAAUUAAUUUUCACUUGAAGAAACAUCAUUUGUAAUGCCUCUCCUCCUUGGCCUGGCCUCAUCCCACGGUCCAAUUGCCGAGUCCUUUCUCACUUGAGAUCUUCAACACCACCAAGUUGAGAGCUGGAAGGUGCGAGGGAAUUGCAACCAAACUCUUCUGUUCACGUUGUGGGAGAGGGGACCCGUGUCCCAGCUGUGUGAUGACCA
rnacentral:lncRNA from 1 species